AAUAUUUAGGUAUUAUUUCUAUUAUAUUUGGUCAGGACGUGGCAGAGGUAUAUUUGUUUUGUAUUAUGGGGUUUUGUGUGUGGUGUAGUGGGGUGUAUUAGUUUGGUAUAGGUUCUAGGUUUGUUUUUCUAUGUGUAGUUUUGGGUGCUGGACUCUCAAUUGGAGGCAGGUGUUUCUAGUUGCCUCUGAUUGGGAGUCCCAUAAGUAGGUGUGUGUUUGUUUGGUUUUCGUGGGUAGUUGUUUUUGCACUGCGUGUUGUGUGCCUGCAAAACUGUUCCUGUCGUGUAUAUUGUUUUCCAGUGGAUGCGUUACUCCUUUUUUUGAAUUAAAACAUGAGCAUCCAUAUUCCCGCUGCAGUUUGGUCUAUUCAACACGGCUCUUUUUGUGACAGAUAUAUAUUUUAAGCCAGCCUGAUUGACUAGUGCCCGGCUAGUGCCCGGCCCUGAAUAGAGAAUAAGUUGUAAUAAAUUAUAACAAAAAAAUUCUCCAUGUGUAGAUGUGACAGUAGCCUGUAACCAGUCUAUAGUGUUUAGCAGCAUCAGUGGAAGGAGAGUCAUUCAAGAUGUCCCCACACACAGUUCAGUGUAAAAUCAUCAAAGUGUAGUCCAGAGGUGUACUCUCUGAUAGGCAUGAAGUACAUACAGUCACACAUUAUCAAGUCCCUCGAUUGAGCACCUGAUUCCCCUUUUUGUUCAAACUGGGCUGAAGCAUGUUUGGGUACGCUUUCAUUCUAUUAGUCACACAUACCUCGCAGAGAGCUGGUUCACACAGUGAUACAUUCACCAAGAGAACAGAGACCGCAAGCACCACGACAUUACUCUUAUUCCUCUCAUUACUGUAACUUCAAGAUUUAUUCACUCAAGAUGUAUGUGUCAAAUUGUUCCCUCAGGACAAAUGCUAACUAGACAACCAUGCAGAUCUGUGUGUGACUCGCAUCUUGGUCCAAUUUCCAAUUGAAAAUGACAUGCAAUGGUUUAGAGAAAAGUUUAUGAAUCUUAAAGAGAGAAUAUAAAUAAUCGUCUUGUUACUUCUUUCUUCUGUUGUUAAGCUUUGUGGUCAGAGGUCAUUAUAUGACUGCUAAAAUUAUCUGUCAGGUGGUGAAAACAGUGUUUUCCCCUUGAUCGACCCCAGAGUUGACAUGGGAUUUUUUUUUCAACUUCAGUAUUGUGGAUGUUUUUAAAAAUCUUUUCUGUUUUCUGUUAUUGCAAACCACACAAAUCCUAAGUUUAGGAAAACAAUAUGCUAUUACUCAUGGGUGUGGGGAGGUGAGCCCCAUUCUGUCCAGCGAUAUUUAUGUCCAUUUAGGUGACCCCUUUUCGCUCAAAAGCAUCUCCGGAGGCACAAUUUCUUUACAGCCUCUUUAAAAACAUCACUCUAUUCUUGCUCACAUUUUUCUGCUGUUAACGUUAAACUGCAUGAACAUCUGCAUAAGGUUGAUUUUGCAAAUACAGGCACUUUUGGAUGUUAAAUGUUUUUGAAAAUGAAACUGCUUGAAACUGCUUUUUAUCUAUCGGAAUAUUUUCUUCACUCUGUCUGGAAACAAGAUCCAAUAGUGGCUGAGAACAUACUAUUCAAGAAUAUAAAUACCAGAGGGGAAAUGUCAUUACCACCACCUCAUAAAAUGUGCUAUUUUAGUUGAAAGGAAAUUACAGAAAUGUAGGUAUUUAGGUAUUUUAAAGAACAUUUCAGAAGAUUUUUGUUAAAUCAUGCUUUUUUUUUUACUAUUUAGAAGGGUUUUUAUUUAUAUGUAUUCAUCAUUGUCAUGUCUAAAUGUCCAUAUAUGCCUUGAUGAUACUCAGAAACAUGUAUUUACCACAUCAAAAUGUUUAUAUUUUACAUUAUUUUAGGAAUUAUCUUAAGAACAAGCAUAUAAGGUUCACUGAUGGGAAAAAUCAUCAAUAUCAAUUGUGAUUGAAUACACCUUUUCCUCAAAAAUAUGUACCGUGACGGUAAUGACUUAGCGUUGUGCUAAUGACAAGAGUGUGGUGGAAAUUACAUUUCAAAUUAAACAACUGGUGAAAAAUACCAUUAAACAUUUUAAUGUCACAGUUGUACAUGUUUCAUUUUAUUGAAGACAUAAAAC
rnacentral:lncRNA from 1 species